UACAGAGGUCCCGAGCGUUGUUCGGAUUCACUGGGCGUAAAGGGUGCGUAGGUGGUGAGGUAAGUCGGAUGUGAAAGCUCGGAGCUCAACUCCGAAAUUGCAUUGGAAACUACCUUGCUCGAGGGUUGGAGGGGGGACUGGAAUACUUGGUGUAGCAGUGAAAUGCGUAGAUAUCAAGUGGAACACCAGUGGCGAAGGCGAGUCCCUGGACAACUCCUGACACUGAGGCACGAAAGCUAGGGGAGCAAACAGG
rnacentral:rRNA from 1 species